rnacentral:tRNA from 1 species
UGAGUUGUAGUUUAAUUGGCAAAACACUAUGUUUUGAUCAUAGCUAAUCUUCGUUCAAAUCGGAGCAACUCAG